GAGGGGGAUAGCUCGAGGAAACUCGAAUUAAUACCGCAUAAUCUCCACGGAGUAAAGAGGGCUUCGGCUCUCGCCAUCGGAUGAGCCUAUGCAAGAUUAGCUUGUUGGUAAGGUAAUGGCUUACCAAGGCUACGAUCUUUAGCUGGUUUGAGAGGACGACCAGCCACAUCGGGACUGAGACACGGCCCGGACUUCUACGGAAGGCAGCAGUAGGGAAUAUUGGACAAUGAGCGAAAGCUUGAUCCAGCCAUGCCGCGUGUGCGAUGAAGACCUUAGGGUUGUAAAGCACUUUAGGUUAUGAGAAAAGAUUUGGUAUUAAUAC
rnacentral:rRNA from 1 species